ACUUAAAGGAAUUGGCGGGGGAGCACAACAACGGGUGGAGCCUGCGGUUUAAUUGGACUCAACGCCGGACAACUCACCGGGGACGACAGCAAAAUGUAGGCCAGGCUGAAGACCUUGCCUGAAUCGCUGAGAGGAGGUGCAUGGCCGUCGCCAGUUCGUACUGUGAAGCAUCCUGUUAAGUCAGGCAACGAGCGAGACCCGUGCCCACUGUUACCAGCAUAUCCUCCGGGAUGAUGGGUACUCUGUGGGGACCGCCGGUGUUAAAUCGGAGGAAGGUGCGGGCCACGGUAGGUCAGUAUGCCCCGAAUUUCCCGGGCUACACGCGGGCUACAAUGAAUGGGACAAUGGGUCCCUCCCCUGAAAAGGGCUGGUAAUCUCACAAACCCAUCCUUAGUUCGG
rnacentral:rRNA from 1 species